CCUACGGGAGGCAGCAGUGGGGAAUAUUGGACAAUGGGGGGAACCCUGAUCCAGCCAUGCCGCGUGUGUGAAGAAGGCCCUCGGGUUGUAAAGCACUUUCAGUGAGGAAGAACGCCUGGUGGUUAAUACCCAUCAGGAAAGACAUCACUCACAGAAGAAGCACCGGCUAACUCCGUGCCAGCAGCCGCGGUAAUACGGAGGGUGCGAGCGUUAAUCGGAAUUACUGGGCGUAAAGCGCGCGUAGGUGGCUUGAUAAGCCGGUUGUGAAAGCCCCGGGCUCAACCUGGGAACGGCAUCCGGAACUGUCAAGCUAGAGUGCAGGAGAGGACGGUAGAAUUCCCGGUGUAGCGGUGAAAUGCGUAGAGAUCGGGAGGAAUACCAGUGGCGAAGGCGGCCUUCUGGACUGACACUGACACUGAGGUGCGAAAGCGUGGGUAGCAAACAGGAUUAGAUACCCCGGUAGUC
rnacentral:rRNA from 1 species